rnacentral:piRNA from 3 species
UAGUGGUUAGGAUUCGGCGCUCUCACCG